CUUCCCUAUUAGGCGGAAGUUUUGAUGAAGGCGAAUUCACUACUAAACUUCUUGAAACUAAAGAAAUUAUUGACGCCGUCAUUCAACAGUUUAGAAACCCUGAAAAGACGACUUUUGUAUGUGUUUGUAUUGCGGAGUUUCUCUCUCUUUAUGAAACGGAGCGACUCGUGCAGGAGCUCGCAAAAUUUGAUAUCGACACUCAUAAUAUUAUAGUCAACCAACUCAUUCCUCCUUCUUUUGAUAACUGUGACUAUUGUUCAGCGCGAAUCAAAACUCAAAGAAAAUAUUUGCAACAAAUGGACGACCUUUACGAGGACUUUAACUUAACUAAAGUUCCUCUUCUAACUCAUGAAGUGCGAGGAAGUCAAUAUUUGAAAGCUUUUUCAGAGAAACUUGUCAGUCCUGACAAUCUUUU